GUCAAGUACAAUGGACAUAUGACAUGGAAAAUUUGCUACAAAAGACAUCUUAAUAUAAGAAAUGAAGCUUCCUGGUCUUCUACUUUCUAAAAUACCAGCUUUUACAUACAAAUAGUGAACACUUUCAAUGUAGACUCCUGAUAAGCAUUCUGCUACUUCAGACAAAACAAAAAUGAAUAAUGUUCCUCUUAAUUCCAAUCACAC
rnacentral:lncRNA from 1 species